CACUCAACGCUGACGCAGACGCGGCCCCGGUCCUCAUCCAGCACUGCCACAUGCCUUGCCUCCUCCAUGUAACAUGCAUUGGUGCCAGUGUCUGGCAGGGAUGAAUCCAUCAGGACCUGCCCAUCAGGCCCUGGGGCUCUCAAAGGCUCCCAACCUCAGUCAUCACCUCCAGAACAUCAGUGCUCCCCACAGGACCAAGAUGAUUGUGAGCAAGCGCGGCACCUUGAAGACUGCACUUUCCUGAUGCCUACUGUGCCAGAUGUUGGAGUACAACGCAGAUAUCGGCCUUGUCCUGAGGGAUCUCACAGCCUUACCAAUAAUCACAGUAUGGUUGACGUGGGCAGUUAACAGAGAUGGACGUGCCACUGUGCUUGGGAGUUCAGGGAUGUUCGAGAGGUUUGGAACAAAGGGUGCGAGGUAACAAGGAGCCAAAGACCUGCUGGAGAAGCAGGCAGGCUGCACUAUGGAUGGCCUUCAGGCCAAGCUAAGGUGUACAAAUUUCAUCCUGAAGGGAGAAGUGAAUGGGGAUGCAUCUGCACUUCAGAAAGGGGUUCCACUUGUGGCAUGACUCCGGGCAGGUCAUUCAUGACUUCUUUGAAUUUUAGUUUCUUCAUCUGGGAGGAAAUAUCUUUCACAAGGUUAUUGCAAGAAUUAAAUAAGACUUGAAAAAUGCUUUAGGAAAUUUAAUGUGCAUCAUGAGACAUCAGCUCACGGAUGGGCUUUGAAGGGUAUAGUGAUGCAGAAUGGAAAGAGCCCUGUUCUCAGAGUCAAGGACCCAGCUCUCCACAAAGGAGCUAGCACCAGGUCUCCAAUCUGGAGACCUAAUUUUCUUAAUCUGCAAAAUGAGGACCAACAUAUGUCAAAGAGCUGUGUGGGGCAAAUGAAAUGAGAGCAAAAGAACCUUGUGCAGAGUGUGCCUUUAGAUUUAUUUAGUUGAAUCUGAAUUGAGCCUCAAUUUCCUCCUCUAUAACAACAAAAAUUCAGUGCUUGUGAGGAUUAAAGGAGUUAAUG